ACUCCUACGGGAGGCAGCAGUGAGGAAUCUUCCACAAUGGACGAAAGUCUGAUGGAGCGACACCGCGUGAAGGAUGAAGGCCUAACGGUUGUAAACUUCUUUUCUGAAGGAGCAUAAUGAGAGUACUUCAGGAAUAAGGGACGGCUAAAUACGUGCCAGCAGCCGCGGUAAUACGUAUGUCUCGAGCGUUACCCGGAAUCACUGGGUGUAAAGGGGUUCGUAGGCGGUUUAAUAAGUUGGAUAUGAAAGACCGGAGCUCAACUUUGUGUUUGUGUUCAAAACUGUUAAACUAGAAUCAGGGAGAGGUAAGUAGAAUUCUAAGUGUAGGGGUGCAAUCCGUAGAUACUUAGAGGAAUACCAAAAGCGAAGGCAACUUACUGGAACUGUAUUGACGCUGAGGAACGAAAGCGUGGGUAGCGAAAAGGAUUAGAUACCCUGGUAGCACAGAG
rnacentral:rRNA from 1 species